rnacentral:lncRNA from 10 species
CCUUGAAAUAGAAUUCAGAUUCUUUGCUACUACCUACCAGGCCCUGCCAGAUACGGCUUCUGCCUUUUUUUUUUUUUUUCCAAACCCAUCUCCCUCUGUGAGUUCCUUCCUUCCUCACAUAUUUCCUGACCUUUAUCAUGUUUUAGUGGCUUUUUUAGGUGCUGGGAAUGGAGAAGUGAAUAUAACAGUGUCUUCUUUCAUGGCGCUUACAUUUUAUGGUGCAUGGACCAAUGUUGUUUCUGCCUCCCGGGCUCAGCCUUUACUGCUCCUCUGCUUUGGAAAGCACUUAUCCUCUCAGGGCUGCAAAGACAGAGCGAGAUUAAUCAGUAGAUCCAGGACUCGCUAGCCUGUGACCUCUAUAAAUGGUCAUGUUUAUCUCCUCAGAGCAUACUUCUGCAGGCUAAAUAAAUUAAAUAAUACAAAGCCCUUAGCACAAUAAAUGUAAGAUAAAUAUGAUCUAUAAUUUGGAUUUUUAUUAUCAGUUUUGCAAAGAAAUAUUUCUACAACUUUUUCAGAGAUUUCUGAGACUUGCUUCCUUAUGGCAUUGACCAAACUGCAAAAUGAGCUCCCCUGCAGGAAUUUUGAGCUACAAAAUACAUUCCCAAGAAGCUGGAAAAGUAUUUCCUCCCAGAGCCAGGGCUCUGCUGUGCAGCAUAAUACAAAUAUCCCAAGCUUAACGCCAUGGUUUUUAUCAUGGAUGCUGAUUAGAACAUAAUUUAGUGAUGUUUUUGAUUGGAAACAAAUUUUGACCCCAUGGUGCGUUACAUUCAAAAUGUCUCCAUUGCAAAGUGUUUAAACUUUUAUUAUUGCAUUUAUCACAUUGUAUUAUAGUCGUGGGUAGGGUAACCACACAUCCUAAGUUUAUGCCUUUUGUCCUGAAGUACCAUCUGGUUUAGCAUUUUAGCACUCUCAAAAGUGUCCUGGUUUAGACAAUAAACUCUAUAGUCCCCCAAUUAUGAGGCUUGUAGUUGUAUUAUAAGACAGCAAGGAAUCAAGGGCAAUGAGACAAAACUUAGAAGAUGCCUUGCAAUCCUAAACCUCAGUGAAGUGUGAAAACAACUAAACCUGGGUUUCUGAGGACUAGAAGAAACAUUUGGGGUUGGCUGAGGAUUGGGUUUGCAUGCAUCUUAAUCACCAGAGUAAGAUAUAAUUUGGUUUGGUUUCAUGCUAAAGUUUUAGUUUUCGGUACUUCGAAUUAAAGGGUCAGAUACAGUCUGUCAGCUAAAAAAGAAUAUUUGUUAAGUAGAAUACUUCAUGUCCUGGCAGGAGGAAACCUUUCUGAACAGAGUGCACCUUGGUUAUUUAGUUUAAAAUUUUUAUUCUGGAAGAUUGUUUAAAUUGAGACAGGAUGGUAACUUUUUAUAUACAAGGAAUGUUAUUAAAGUACUUUGAGAUUUUUGGAUGC